rnacentral:rRNA from 1 species
AGGACGAACGCUGGCGGCGUGCUUAACACAUGCAAGUCGAGCGGUAAGGCCUUUCGGGGUACACGAGCGGCGAACGGGUGAGUAACACGUGGGUGAUCUGCCCUGCACUCUGGGAUAAGCCUGGGAAACUGGGUCUAAUACCGGAUAUGACCUGCUCUCGCAUGGGGGUGGGUGGAAAGAUUUAUCGGUGCAGGAUGGGCCCGCGGCCUAUCAGCUUGUUGGUGGGGUAAUGGCCUGCCAAGGCGACGACGGGUAGCCGACCUGAGAGGGUGACCGGCCACACUGGGACUGAGACACGGCCCAGACUCCUACGGGAGGCAGCAGUGGGGAAUAUUGCACAAUGGGCGAAAGCCUGAUGCAGCGACGCCGCGUGAGGAUGAAGGCCUUCGGGUUGUAAACCUCUUUCAGCAGGACGAAGCGCAAGUGACGGUACCUGCAGAAGAAGCACCGGCUAACUACGUGCCAGCAGCCGC